UACGUAGGCAGCGAGCGUUGUUCGGAGUUACUGGGCGUAAAGGGUGUGUAGGCGGCUUUCUAAGUUGGUGUGAAAUCUCCCGGCUCAACCGGGAGGGUGCGCCGAAAACUGGGGAGCUAGAGUGCGGGAAGGGAGAGUGGAAUUCCUGGUGUAGCGGUGAAAUGCGUAGAUAUCAGGAGGAACACCGGUGGCGAAGGCGGGUCUCUGGGCAGUAACUGACGCUGAGGAGCGAAAGCGUGGGGAGCGAACAGG
rnacentral:rRNA from 1 species